GGACUCRGGGGGAAGUAUGCUUGCAAGAGUGAAAUUUAAAGGAAUUGACGGAAAGGCACCACCAGGAGUGGAGCCUGCGGCUCAAUUUGACUCAACACGGGGAAACUUACCAAGCCAGGACAUAGUGAGGAUUGACAGAUUAAAGUUCUUUCUUGAUUCUAUGAAUAGUAGUGCAUGGCCGUUCUUAGUCGGUGGAUUGCUCUGUCUGGUUAAUUCCGAUAACGGACGAGACCCCAGCCAUCUAACUAGCCGUCACUAGCCCUGUUCUAGUGCUUGUCCGUUCCUGCCCUGCGCGGACCAAUCGGUCUGCCUUCGUGGGUGGACAAGUUCGGCUUCUUAGAGGGACCAACUGUGUUCAGCAGUGGGAAGUGUGGGGCAAUAACAGGUCAGUGAUGCUCUUAUAAGGCUUGGGCUGCACGCGUGCUACAAUGGCGCAUUCAGCGAGUCUAACCUUCCCCGAGAGGGGUGGGUAAUCUUUAACGUGCGCCAAAGUGGGGAUAGACGAUUGUAAUUAUUCGUCUUGAACUAGGAACUCCUAGUAAACGCAAGUCAUCAUCUUGCAUUGACUACGUCCCUGCCCUUUGUACACACCGCCCGUCGCUCCUACCGAUCGAAUAAUGCGGUGAACUGAGUGGAGAGUUGUGCUUCUUUUGUUGCGCGGCUCAAAGCUCCGUGAACCUUGUUAUUUAGAGGAAGAACAAGUCGUAACAAGG
rnacentral:rRNA from 1 species